rnacentral:lncRNA from 1 species
GAAUGGACUAGAAGUUCUCUUCUCAAGGCAGAAGCUUAUCUAAGAGCAAAUGUGGAAUUUCACCUUGUUAUAUUAGGCAAAGCAACCUUAAAGCAAAUAGGGCCUUAUAUGAAGCAUGGCAAAGUUCUUCAAAUUUGAAUCUUGAAGCCACCAUAUUUCUAUUUGAUCGACUGAGCCGUGAAGUUUUAUGAACCAAGAUGUUCUCUGUGGGAAGAAGAAUAUCCUUCUGGUG